GGCAGAAUGGCCGAGCGGUCCAAGGCGUGUGACUCAAGCGACUGCGUAAUAUUUACGUAAGGUGCUUGCCCUAUCUGGGUUUCUCAUCAUCGUAUGAUGGCAGGGGUUCGAAUCCCCUUUCUGUCA